AAAUAUAUAUUCAUCCAAUGCAGGAGCACCCAGAUUCAUAAGUAAAGUUCUUAGAGACCUACAAAGUAUGUUUCACAGUAAUAGUGGGAGAUUUCCACACUCCAAUGACAGUAUUAGACAGAUGAUUGAGGCAAAAAAAUGAACAAAGAUAUUCAGGACCUGAACUCAACAUUGGAUCAAAUGGAUCUGAUAGACCUUUACAGAACUCUGCACUCAAAAACAACAGAAUAUGCAUUCCUCACAUCAUCAUAUGCCACAUACUCUAAAAUCAACCACAUAAUUGGACAUAAAGCAAUCCUCAGCAAAUGCAAAACAACUGAAAUCAUACCAAAUACAUACUGAGAUCACAGUGCAGUAAAAAUAGAAGACUAAGAAAAUUGCUGAAAAUCAUGCAAUUACAUGGAAAUCAAUCAACAUGCUCCUGAAUGACUUUUUAAUAAAUAAUGAAAUUAAGGCAGAAAUCAAGAAGCUCUUUGAAAAUAAUGAGAACAAAGUUACAACAUACUAGAGCCUCUGGACACAGCUAAGACAAUGUUAGGAGGGAAAUUUAUAGCACUAAAUCCCACAUCAAAAAGUUAGGAAGAACUCAAAUUAAUAACCUAACAUCACAACUGAAAGAACUAGAGAAGCAAGACAAAACCCCAAAGCUAGAGGAAGACAAGAAAUAACUGAAAAUCUGAGCUGAACUGAAAGAAACCGAGACAUGAAAAAAAGAAAUUCAAAAGAUCUAUGAAUUCCGGUUUCUCCACAGACACUACCCAAAGCAGUGCUUCACUACAGUGGCAGACAGACCUGAAAAUUUUCAUCUGAAGCAGCAGAGUGAACUGCAGAGGCAGGUCACCAACCAGUGUGGAGGCUAAAAGCGGGCCUCUUUGGGGAUUCCAGGUGGAAGUGUUGGACAUCUGUAGUAUUCCUGGUCUCGAAUCAUCCUGAUAUUCUUCAUUUUGUUAUUCACAUUGGACUAGGCAGGAACAAAGAUCACCACAACUGGCUCCCCUUCAACUAUGUUAGAUGGCAACUUGCCUUCAGUAUGGUGAAACACAUCAAAUUUCUCUUGCCUGACACAGCAUAGGAAGAUGCUGAACGGCCACACAGUGAUCCAUUG
rnacentral:lncRNA from 10 species